GUCAAAAUAUGACCUUGACGAAACGUUAAUGGCACCCUCCAGUGAAACGCGGUUGGGAUUUGUCGACUACACUGAAAAAUGAACUACAUACAUUUGUCAGAGACAAUCUGGAUAAUUUGACUGUCAAAUUUUAAAUAUCAUAUUGCUUGAGCAGAACAGAAUUACUAUAUACUAUGACCAGUGCCCGCGAAGUAAACCGCAGUAAAAGAUGGGCCACAGGAACACCAAUGCGACGAUAUCUAAAUGGAUUUAUUUUUGGUUCCAUGGCUUUAUGUUUUAGUUCAGGUUGCCUUUUUGCAUAUGUAUUUAGGAAUAGAAUGCAAGAAAUUUUACAAAAUAUUAAGCAAUCUAUGCGAGAAGCGGAAAGAGACGCAGAUAGAAGACUUAAAGAAGAAUAUGAAGAAAGAAUGAAGCAGAAAGAGGUUGGGUUGAACUUGAAGAAGAAAUUUUGAAUAAAAAAUGUGUAAAUACAUAGUUAUUAUAUUUCUUGACUUUUGACUAAAUAGUGUAUAUAAUGAUAUAGGAAAAAGACAAUGAAGUAUUCCAUAGUUCUUUUCUUCAGUUUGACAAACGAUUUUAGAUCCGUAGUGUUGAUGUAGAGACCACUUCUAGACAUUUCAGUAGGAUAACUAGCUAGUAGCUAUGUGGUUGGACUGGCAGUCUAUCUUUGGCUAUAUAAAAGAAUGCUGAAUAUCUGUGUGCGACUGUGCAUCCAUAUCUGUUGUUUCUAAGGAGAAUUAACUGUUUUAAUAAUAAGUCUAACUCCAGUUGUUUAAAUUUUGUAAUCUAUUUUAUGAUUAAAGAUCUUUUUCCAAAUUAAA